UUUCCGUAGGUGAACCUGCGGAAGGAUCAUUCAUAAUAAAGUGUUUUAUGGCACUUUUUAAAAAUCCAUAUCCACCUUGUGUGCAAUGUUAGAUCUCGUCAAUCUUGGCGAGAUUUUUAUACAACAACUCAUUCUUUAACUAAUUUGUCUGAAAAAUAUUAUGAAUACUUAAUUCAAAAUACAACUUUCAACAACGGAUCUCUUGGCUCUC
rnacentral:misc_RNA from 1 species